rnacentral:lncRNA from 1 species
UUAUAAGCAUGCAUUAGACCAUAUUCAAGGUUGCAUAUGUGAUUUUGGUGUGAGGCAGGCUACACUUAUCUAAAAUCUUUAACUUCAGAAAGUAAAUUUUAUACAUUAAGACAAUCAAAAUCUUUGUUCCAUCUGCACCCUGUUAUCUGUGUUGAUGGUUCGUUUUCUAGUUCUGUACCAAAGUUGCAUUGCAUAACAUGUUUCAAACUGAUAGAUACUUCUAUGCUGAGGCAGUGCCAACUCCAUAUGUUACAUAUCAUCAUAGACAAUAUUGUGAAAAAAAUAAAUACUAUAGAUCCAUUUGUAAGUGAAGGGAACAGAAUUGAUUCAUGGAUCAUGCACCUGGUAAUUGUUUAUUCUACUUUCUAACAAUAGAAACUAUGAAAGUUGGAUGGAAAAGACAUGAAGCUUUUCCUUUGAACAAGGGAUGUGCCAAAUGCAGUGGCAUUGUAUGCUGCACUACUGCAGUUAAAUCUGAUGACACAAUUUAAAGCAGUACCAGUCCAAAAUCAGUGCAUUGUAGUUCUUAACUACAAUAUUUUGUUAACCAGUUUAUCUUAGCAAAUUGGUCUAUAAGCAUGAGUUCAUUUAUUCUGGCUAUUAUUAUUUUUUUUUUGGAGAGAUUUGAUAACAUUGACAAGCAUCUUUGAUAAAUGUGUAUAAUUAAACUAGGAAUGAAGGCAUAGAAUGAUGCUUUGAGGUUCUAUUUUAAGGGAUUAACCUUCACCCGUAAAGAUUAUCCUUUCUAUUUUGGGCUCCAUGUAUUAUCUGUAUUGUUGGAUGAUUUCUUUAUGUUCUGUCACAUGCACUGCAGCAUGCUCUAUAAUUGACUUUUUGAUUUCCCCCCUCAUUUUUACAUCAUGCUGGAGAUUAGUUAAUCUCAUUUCAAGAAACCUACUACUAGAAUUGUUGGUCUAUAAGAGGCGAUCACAGGUUAUAGCUGAAGUAGUAGCAUUUAUGUGAAUAGAUUAUCCACUCUAAUUUUAGCUGCGUGCACUUUUAACGUUAGGUAUGUUUUUGAUAUGUAAUUUGCCACAUGGACUGGGGAAAUGUCUAUAGAUUGAUUAAAUGUUUUGGGUGCUAUGCUGGAGAAUAAAUUAGUGUAGACUAAAAUACAAUCUAAUAUAUUACCUGUAGAACAUGAGUAUGGUUGAGUUGUUUCACGGAAGCACACUUUUUUCCUUCUGUCUUCCAGAUUGUGGUUCUGUUUCUUCUUGUCAGAAGGUUCUUUUUCAUAUUUGUUUUGCAUAACUGAUGAAUCACUUUACCAUUAUUUGCAUAACUAUGUAACUCCCUGUUCUGUCUAUGUAAAGGAUAAAGUUGUCCUUUCUCUAUACUUUUUUAAGGGAGUUCUGUAGUCAAAAAUGGUUUCUUUCAAUCUUCAUUCACUGAAUUCUUCUGGCUGGUUCACUUUAAGAGUGUAAAAGUCAUUUUUCCUGAUGUUGAAGC